CCAAAAUGGCAUGUCCCUAGACCGCCUGUUCAACAUUCAUACUCUAAAAUAUCGUAAAAAAAUGAAGAAAGAAAUGUUUUUUUUACUUUACAUAAGUUCUUUAAUAAUUCAAAAGUAUGUUCAGAGCCAACAUAUUCUAAUAAACACAUUUCAAUAUAGGUUUUUUUAAUUUCAGAAGAUGUGUCCCUCACAAAAUGUCCACUACGAAACGAAGUCAUUAAAAUUUGCCAAUAAACAGUUUUAUAAAAUCAAUGUAAUUUUUGUUUGCAAGAGAUAUAUACAUUAGGGUCUUACAAAAGAAGUGAUGCUUUUAUAACGGCAAUUAAAUUGUUGGUAAGAAAAAUUGAGCACAUCAAAUGGACCAGAGUGAUACCGUAUUUUUGAUAAUGUCCCCUACGAAACGGGUC
rnacentral:lncRNA from 1 species